AUUGAACGCUGGCGGCAGGCCUAACACAUGCAAGUCGAACGAGUGGCGGACGGGUGAGUAAUGUCUGGGAAACUGCCUGAUGGAGGGGGAUAACUACUGGAAACGGUAGCUAAUACCGCAUACCAUCGGAUGUGCCCAUAUGGGAUUAGCUAGUAGGUGGGGUAACGGCUCACCUAGGCGACGAUCCCUAGCUGGUCUGAGAGGAUGACCAGCAACACUGGAAAUGAGACACGGGCCAGACUCCUACGGGAGGCAGCAGUGGGGAAUAUUGCACAAUGGGCGCAAGCCUGAUGCAGCCAUGCCGCGUGUAUGAAGAAGGCCUUCGGGUUGUAAAGUACUUUCAGCGGGGAGGCGUUACCCGCAGAAGAAGCACCGGCUAACGCCGUGCCAGCAGCCGCGGUAAUAC
rnacentral:rRNA from 1 species